AACGCCGUUUUUUUUGUUAUACUGCAACUACAUAUUCGUGUAUGCAUAAGUAAUUGCUCAAAGGUCAACAGAUUUUAUUUUCGAAUUAUUAGAUAUUAUAGACUAUGGUGCUUAAAGAUAAUGUAUAAGACUAUACAUUGAUAAUGUUGGACUAGUCGAUUUGAAACAAGUGUUAUAGGCGAUUAUUUCCUGAUGUGCCAAUCAUAUUAAGAAGAAUCCAAGAUUACGUAGGAAAUGGAAAUCUGUAUUUGUAUCGAGAAGUAAUUUAAUUUUUUGAACAAGUGUUUGUUAACAUCUUAGAAUAUUUAGCAUUAAAAAGGCCUAUCUUUAAAAUGUAAUUGAACGAAAUAAAUAUUACAUUUUAACAUGAUUUAGUGGCGGCCCAAGAAUUUGCAUUGGAUUUCAGAUUAUGUAUUAUAAUCAUUGAGAAGUUCUCGCAUUUUACUGUUUCGAGGAACCAAUGUGAACGCUCCGUGCUUCUGAUUUACCGCCGAGGAGACGCUGCAGCAGUCGAAGUCGUUUGAAGUCACACGCGAUUUAUACAUAUUAAACUGAGAUAGUUAAGUAUGAAAUUUAGGUCGGUAUAGCCAGAAUUGAUUGGUUAAGAAUGGAGUUGAUGUUUCGAUUUUGAAUUUACAGUUUAAUUCCUUGUAUAUUCGUAUGUAUGUUUCUAUAAUUGUUGCUGGUUCAUUGAAAUUUCUUACUUGAGUAGCUGAAAUGUUGUUUGGUGAGGGAGAUUGAGUUUAUUUGUGACGUAUUUUAAUAUAUUUUUGUUUUUUUCUAAUUUGAAGUGGAGGUUCUUCUAAAAUGCAUAGAAUGCAAUCUAUAGGGCUGGUACGAAAAACACCUACACCUAAUUGAAUCGCUUGGUUGUGAAUGAGGUUGAGGAUUUGUUUGGUGUUUGAUUUGGCUGAAUUAUAGAUUAUAGAUCCAUAAUCUAUUUUUAAUAGUAUUAGUGCUUUGUAAAUUAAUAGUAAAUUGUUUUUUCAGCUUCCCAUUUAUGACGGGAAAGAGUUUUGAUGAGUUUUAUUUUUUUAUUGCAGUUUGUCUUUAGUUUUUUAGAUGAAGUAUCCACGAAAAUUUACUGUCGAACGUUAGGGCAUUAUUUAUGUAAAUGUGGGAUAGUACAUUAUUAAUUUGGAAUUUUUUGUUUCUGGGACCCAACUCGAGUUUGUCCGCCGUAUGCUAUCAAGUAUUCAGCGUGCAUAUGUGACGAUCACGUGUAAUGUGUGUGGGCAGAGAGGCGCAUGCCAUUGUUACCUAUGCACGCACACACACCUACCCGCGCAUACACACACUGCACGCACAGUGUAAGUUAAUGCAUAAUAUUGUUAUUCAAACGAAUUUUUAAGGUGCACGUCGAUUAUUGACAACGGCCUAUUUGUUUUCGUUCAACUUUCACACGUUGCCGUAACUAGAUGGUAAUUUUUAAUCGUCUUGACUGCCCGUCCUAAGACAAGCGCCAACGUAAAUGUCUCUGCGAAGCAAUGAUCACGAUUCAAGGUUUCUCACCGGUUACCGGCCGUACAAAACACAACACCAUGAAUUUGGAUCCGUAUAGUGUCGAAUCGAUCGAUUAAACUGUUCAUCCGUGUAGAAUUAUUUUCGACGCUUGUUCGCAAUAUACCAAAUAAAUA
rnacentral:lncRNA from 1 species